CCUUGUACACACCGCCCGUCAAGUCAUGAAAGUCGGUAACACCCGAAGCCAGUGGCCUAACCCGCAAGGGGAGGAGCUGUCGAAGGUGGGAUCGGUGAUUAGGACU
rnacentral:rRNA from 1 species